CUACGCUCGUCUCAAAGAUUAAGCCAAGCAUGUGUUAGUGUAGAUGGACUAGUUAGGGACUGCGAAUGGCUCAUUAUAUCAGUUAUAGUUUAUUUGGUGAAGUGUACUACUUGGAUAACCGUAGUAAUUCUAGGGCUAAUACAUGAGAAAGUCCUCUGGUGAGGUGUGUUUAUUARAAUGAAAACCAUAUGCUUCGGCAGUAUAGUGAGUAAUAGUAACCUAUCGUAUCGCAUGCUUAAAGUAGCGAUGAGUCUUUCAAGUUUCUGCCCUAUCACCUUUCGAUGGUAGUAUAUGGGCCUACCAUG
rnacentral:rRNA from 1 species